GGGGAGGUAGAGGACGGUAGAGGAGGUAGAGGGAGGCAGUGGGAGUUAGGGGGAGGUAGAGGAAGGUAGAGGGAGGUAGAGAGAGGCAGUGGGAGGUAGGGGAGGUAGAGGGAGGUAGAGGGAGGUAGAGGUAGGUAGGGGGAGGUAGAAGGAGGUAUAGGGAGGUAGAGGGAGGGUAGGGGGAGGUAGAGGAAGGUAGAGGGAGGUAGAGGGAGGCAGUGGGAGUUAAGGGGAGGUAGAGGGAGGCAGUGGAAGGUAGAGGGAGGCAGUGGGAGUUAGGGGGAGGUAGAGGAAGGUAGAGGGAGGUAGAGGGAGGCAGUGGGAGUUAGGGGGAGGUAGAGGAAGGUAGAGGGAGGUAGAGGGAGGCAGUUGGAGUUUGGGGGAGGUAGAGGAAGGUAGAGGGAGGUAGAGGGAGGCAGUAGGAGUUAGGGGGAGGUAGAGGAAGGGUAGAGGGAGGUAGAGGGAGGUAGAGGGAGGUAGGGGGAGGUAUAGGGAGGAAGGGGGAGGUAGAGGGAGGUAGAGGGAGGCAGUGGGAGUUAG
ensembl:lncRNA